UGAUGUGGCCAGUCCACAUCAAAGCCUGAUAUCUUCAGAUCUCAGAAGCUAAGCAGGGUCUGGGUAGUACUUGGAUGAGUGACCACUGCAGAUACCAGGUGCCACAGUGG
rnacentral:rRNA from 1 species